rnacentral:rRNA from 1 species
UACGGAAGGUGCAAGCGUUAUCCGGAUUCACUGGGUUUAAAGGGUGCGUAGGCGGGUAAGUAAGUCCGUGGUGAAAUCUCUGAGCUUAACUCAGAAACUGCCGUGGAUACUAUUUGCCUUGAAUAUUGUGGAGGUGAGCGGAAUAUGUCAUGUAGCGGUGAAAUGCUUAGAUAUGACAUAGAACACCAAUUGCGAAGGCAGCUCACUACACAAUCAUUGACGCUGAGGCACGAAAGCGUGGGGAUCAAACAGG